GCCAUGCCGCGUGCAGGAAGACGGCCCAUCGGGUUGUAAACUGCUUUUGUACGGGAAAAACCUCUCUACGUGUAGAGAGCAGAAUGUACUGUAAGAAUAAGGAUCGGCUAACUCCGUGCCAGCAGCCGCGGUAAUACGGAGGAACCAAGCGUUAUCCGGACUAUUGGGUUUAAAGGGUGCGUAGGCGGCCUUUAAGUCAGGGGUGAAAGACGGCAGCUCAACUGUCGCAGUGCCUUUGAUACUGAAGAGCUUGAAUACACUUGAAGUAGGCGGAAUGUGACAAGUAGCGGUGAAAUGCAUAGAUAUGUCACAGAACACCAAUUGCGAAGGCAGCUUACUAAAGUGUGAUUGACGCCGAGGCACGAAAGCGUGGGGAUCAAACAGGAUUAGAUACCCUGGUAGUCCACGCCCUAAACGAUGAACACUCGAUGUUGGCGAUAUACGGUCAGCGUCUAAGCGAAAGCGUUAAGUGUUCCACCUGGGGAGUACGCCCGCAAGGGUGAAACUCAAAGGAAUUGACGGGGGCCCGCACAAGCGGAGGAGCACGUGGUUUAAUUCGAUGAUACGCGAGGAACCUUACCCGGGCUUGAAAGUUAGUGAAUAGAGCAGAGAC
rnacentral:rRNA from 1 species